CCUCCUUUUCUUGGCAUGCAUGUGGUCGAUCAGUACUCAUGUGUGUAAUGUUCGGAGGAAGAGCAGCUGCAGUGCUAUGUCUUCGGUGCUGGUGUGUUUGUCGUCCACCAGUUCUAUCCUCAAUCGCUGUGACACGA